CAAUAGCGUAUAUUAAAGUUGUUGCGGUUAAAAGCUCGUAGUUGGAUUUCUGUCGAAGGCGGCCGGUCCGCACUAUGUGCGUGCAUCUGGUUCGGUUUUGGCAUCCUCUUGGGGAUCGUUUCUGUGCUUGAUUGCAUGGGGCGAGAUUCAAGACUUUUACUUUGAGGAAAUUAGAGUGUUCACGGCAAGCUAUCGCUUUGAAUACAUUAGCAUGGAAUAAUAAUAUAGGGCGUAAGUCUUAUUUUGUUGGUUUCUAGGACAUACGCAAUGAUUAAUAGGGACAAUUGGGGGCAUUCGUAUUAACGCGUCAGAGGUGGAAUUCUUAGAUUGCGUUACGACGAACUACUGCGAAAGCAUUUGCCAAGGAUGUUUUCAUUGAUCAAGAACGAAAGUAUGGGGAUCGAAGAUGAUCAGAUACCAU
rnacentral:rRNA from 1 species